AGCCUAAACCAGCAAGUUGCUGGCAUGGCGAAAAGUAAAGUCCAAACAGGAUAAAAAACCCAUCACAUGGGGUGUCCUGUUUGGCCGUACUGGGAAACUGGUACGAGUGACUUCGGUCACU
rnacentral:sRNA from 12 species